GAUGAAGAACGUAGCGAAAUGCGAUAAGUAAUGUGAAUUGCAGAAUUCAGUGAAUCAUCGAAUCUUUGAACGCACAUUGCGCCCCCUGGUAUUCCGGGGGGCAUGCCUGUCCGAGCGUCAUUACAACCCUCAAGCUCAGCUUGGUAUUGGGCCCCGCCGACCCGGCGGGCCCUAAAGUCAGUGGCGGUGCCGUCCGGCUCCGAGCGUAGUAAUUCUUCUCGCUCUGGAGGUCCGGUCGUGUGCUCGCCAGCAACCCCAAAUUUUUUUCAGGUUGACCUCGGAUCAGGUAGGGAUACCCGCUGAACUUAAGCAUAUCAAUAAGCGGAGGA
rnacentral:misc_RNA from 1 species